UUGGCCCUCCGGCUGUAACUCGGCUUAGGAGUUCAGAAUCUGCAAUUCGGACUAGGCUGUGCUUUAUAGCUUUCCUGGUCACAGGGUAAUUUCUCCAAAAGGUACUUGCAAAGUGAUUUGUCCUAAUUAUUUUUGUAUGAGCUUUCUGGUAAAAGUAGCGGCUACGGAGUGAGUUGGUUAUAAGUGCUCUGUCGUGGGCCUAAAAACCCUGAGUGAUCACGAGUAUAAAGAGUGACCACCAGCCACUUGAGUAGUGCAUAAAACAAUAAAAAGCAGAUAAAAUAAGACAAAGACAAAUCACUUGUUGGAAUCUUUUGUUGAGUCUUUCCCUCAAUUAUUAUACAUAUAUAUUUACCACGAGCAAGUCAAGUCAUCCUAGGUGAUAGAGGCCCCCACAGACCCCCCACACACACUCGGACCCCCAGCCUCGCAACAGCUCGGGGGCCAGAAACCAACGCUACGUCCGUCCAACCACAACAGGCAGCGAAGUAUUCUCUUGGUUUCUUUCAUGCUCCUAAAACGAGACAGGCUUUGAAUACUUUUGGACACUAUGAACAAACUUAGAAUCACGUGGAGCUGCUAUGUUCUGUCUGAAGAAUUGUAAAUGAAGCUAACAAAAAUAGAUAGGUCCAAAGUGGGAGAUUUCUUAAAGGAUUUGUGUCUGAUUUUUUUCAUUUCAGAUGUAUUGUAUAAGCAGCUUUUGGGGUGAAAAUAAAAUAAGUAUUACCA